rnacentral:rRNA from 1 species
GACAGAGGGGGCAAGCGUUGCUCGGAAUCACUGGGCGUAAAGCGCACGUAGGCGGACUCUUAAGUCGGUGGUGAAAUCCUGGAGCUCAACUCCAGAACUGCCUUCGAUACUGAGAGUCUCGAGUCCGAGAGAGGUGAGUGGAACUGCGAGUGUAGAGGUGAAAUUCGUAGAUAUUCGCAAGAACACCAGUGGCGAAGGCGGCUCACUGGCUCGGUACUGACGCUGAGGUGGCGAAAGCUAGGGGAGCAAACGGG